CUUCCCCAGGGGGAGAGCACAAACACACCAUGCCCAUUAGAGGCCCGCCUCCAAACUGACACAUCGUCACUUCCUCCCACAUUCCACAGGCCAAAGCUGGCCCCACAGCCAAGCCCAGCAUAAAAGGCAGCCAAGGGGUGACCCUGGAGGUAGAGAGGAGAGGGAACAAACAUUGGCUGGACAGCGACGAACGGGCCCAACCUGCCAGCCCUGCCUGGGGCUUCACCAUCCCUCCGAGCAUUGGACCCUGUUCUUUCUCACAAGCCCAGUGUCUAAUAGAAUGCACUCUCCUUCGAU
rnacentral:lncRNA from 1 species